GAUGAACGCUGGCGGCGUGCCUAAUACAUGCAAGUAGAACGCUGAAGGAAGGAGCUUGCUCUUUCCGGAUGAGUUGCGAACGGGUGAGUAACGCGUAGGUAACCUGCCUGGUAGCGGGGGAUAACUAUUGGAAACGAUAGCUAAUACCGCAUAACAGUAGAUGUUGCAUGAUAUCUACUUAAAAGGUGCAAUUGCACCACUACCAGAUGGACCUGCGUUGUAUUAGCUAGUUGGUGAGGUAACGGCUCACCAAGGCGACGAUACAUAGCCGACCUGAGAGGGAGGUCGGCCACACUGGGACUGAGACACGGCCCAGACUCCUACGGGAGGCAGCAGUAGGGAAUCUUCGGCAAUGGACGGAAGUCUGAACGAGCAACGCCGCGUGAGUGAAGAAGGUUUUCGGAUCGUAAAGCUCUGUUGUAAGAGAAGAACGAGUGUGAGAGUGGAAAGUUCACACUGUGACGGUAUCUUACCAGAAAGGGACGGCUAACUACGUG
rnacentral:rRNA from 1 species